GCCUAGACAAAUAAAUAACUAUAUGCAGCUACUUACUGUAUUGUACCAUAAUGUUUACUGUUUCUUGAUGUUGUCAUUGGCAUACAAGAGAAGAAACUGUGCUAGCUACGGCACCUUGUAGCUGGCACGUAACAGAAGUGAGUGAGGAUGGAUCAUCCUGCAUGUUUCAACUCUGACAAGCUCAUGAACGGGCAAAUAAGAUGAAUCAAAGUUCAGUUUGCUCCAUGUGUAUGUAUGGCAUGAUUCUGGACCCUGGAAGACCAAUUCAUCUUUUAUCCCUUUCUGGGGGGAAAUAGUUAUCAUUUGUCUUCCAAUACUUGAUUGACACUGAUUGUCAUCUAUAGUUUACAUAUUAGUAUUCUAACUGAUAUCAACAUGCAU
rnacentral:lncRNA from 1 species